GAAAUGCGAUAGUAAUGUGCAUUGCAGAAUUCAGUGAAUCAUUGAAUCUUUGAACGCACAUUGCGCCCGCCAGUAUUCUGGCGGGCAUGCCUGUUCGAGCGUCAUUACAACCCUCAGGCCCCCGGGCCUGGCGUUGGGGAUCGGCGGAAGCCCCCUGCGGGCACAACGCCGUCCCCCAAAUACAGUGGCGGUCCCGCCGCAGCUUCCAUUGCGUAGUAGCUAACACCUCGCAACUGGAGAGCGGCGCGGCCACGCCGUAAAACACCCAACUUCUGAAUGUUGACCUCGAAUCAGGUAGGAAUACCCGCUGAACUUAAGC
rnacentral:misc_RNA from 1 species